CGGGGUGCAGCAGGGCGCGAAAACUUUACAAUGCGCGAAACCGCGAUAAGGGGACCCCCAGUGCNCAGCAUUUUAUNUUGGCUGUCCACANGUGUAAACAGCAUGUGCUUANCANGGGCCGGGCAAGACCGUUGCCAGCNGCCGCGGUAACACCGGCGGCCCGAGUGGUAAUCACUUUUAUUUGGGUCUAAAGGNUCCCGUAGCCGGUUUGAUCAUUUCUUCGGGAAAUCUGACAGCUCAACUGUUAGGCUUCCGGGGAAUACUGUCAGACUUGGGACCGGGAGGAGGUAAGAGGUACUACAGGGGUAGGAGUGAAAUCUUGUAAUUCCCUGUGGGAUCCACCAGUGGCGAAGGCGUCUUACCAGAACGGGUCCGACGGUGAGGGACGAAAGCUAGGGGGCACGAACCGGAUUAGAUACCCGGGUAGUCCCAGCCGUAAACGAUGUUCGCUACGAUAUAAGGGNCUUCGUUACGACCACUUNCUAGUGCCGUAUGNGAACCCCCCUAANUCACUCCNCCUGGGAAC
rnacentral:rRNA from 1 species